GGAUUUCAUGGGAGUACAAAAAUAAAAUAAAAUUCAGGUGUUUGAUACAGAACGAAACCGAAUAUCAUCGAAGUAAAACAACUGAUUCACAUUAGCCAAAU